UACAAUACAAGACUUUAGUCCUAUAUAGAGAAUUAAGAAAUAAAUUAAUAUCUAAAAACUAAUCCUAAGAGACAAUCUAAAAUUAUAAACAAAUCAUAGGAAAUAAAAUAUGAUAUUCUUACACAAUAUAAAAGAUAUUACAAGCAAUUUAUAAUAUUCUGACACUUCCCCUCAAGCUAAAGCUUACUAAGUUUCAAGCUUGUUACAAAUAUACCCUUGAAAAUAGAAAACAUAAAAAUAGAGGCACCAACCUGAGGUACAUGAUUCGUAGAAAUCUUCAAUCUCUGGUCUUCUUCUAGCAUACCAUGACACUCACUCCAAAAGAAUCAAGGUUCAAUAACCACAAUUUGGGAACAAAACAGAAAACAAGUUUAACCAUUAAGUAGAAGAAACUACUCAAAGCUUAAACAAUUAACGGAAGCAAAAAUGUUUAACCACUACAUAAGACAGAAGCUACCAAAGUUUAAGCAUCAAAAGCCGAAGGUAAAGGAUGAGCCUUAACCACUUAAGACAGAAGAAAAAAAUAUAAAACAUAACAAUAAGAAAACCCAAACUGCAACGAUAUUAGGCUAGUGCCCACUCCAGUAGCUGAAACUACUCAAGCAUAACCACUUAAAAGAAGCAAAAAUGUGUAACCAUUACAAUAGACAGAAGCUACCAAAGUUUAACCAUCAAAAGACGAAGGUAAAAGAUGAGCCUUAACCUCGUAAGACAGAAGCAAAAAAAUAUAAAACCAUAACAAUAAGAAAACCCAAACUGCAACGGUAUUAGGUUAGUGCCCACUCUGGUAGCUGAAGCCUUAAUUGAAAGGUGUCUCCAUUUCAUACAAAACCACAAGAAUAUUGGACCGGUUCUCACUCUGGCAGCUGAAAACAAUAUUGAGUCAACACUCUCACUUUGGCGGCUAAAACUCUAAUUAUAAUGGAUUAUCGAGGCACAGCUUCAAUAGAAGCAGUAUAUGCAGUGAUAUUUUACCAAAGGCAGCAAAAAUAUUUGAGGCACACAAACUAGUAGGAUGUGCAACAAAUUACAGAUGCUCACAAAAAAGUCGCAAAUGCAGAAACAACCCAUAAGCACUAACAACAUCGAGCAAAACACCAAAACACAAGACGACGAGCCACAAAACCAUAUAGGGCAGUAGAAAAUUAAGACCCAAUAGCCAAAAAACAAUACCGUAACAGAAAGAGGAAUGGCCGGAGAGAACAAUGAAGUCGCUUUUGUAAACGACAACUUGUAUGGCAGUGUGUGAUCUUCACGCACCGGCAAGAGUUGGUAGAUGUAAUGGCACAUGUGUGUGUGUCAUGGCUGUUGCAUUAGAAGCAUCGGGGUUUUGUAUAUCAGCAAAUUCCAGUCUUGGUGGUGGUGGUUAUGCCGAAAAAGGUUGUUGGAAAUUUUUUCCAGAGACAACGUCGGUGGGUGGCUGGCAGUAGCAACAAUGGCCAGAAGUGACAGCAGAACACUUGUGAGAUUAGAUGGCUACAAGAAAACUAGAGAAAAAUGUUAUUUUAUUUUUAAGUGGAAUCAACAAAGAUCUUUCUCGUUAAAUUAAAUAUGCAGGAAAGCAACUCUACCCAUCAUCUUAUUUUAUUUUUAAGUGAUAAAAAAAAAACUAAUUAUCUGCAUUGAUAAAUUAUAUAUUUCGCAUAGCCUAUAGUUCUGGGUCAUCGUUCACGAUACCAUGUGGGUAAUAUAUAAAACAAAGCAGAAAGAUAGCAAUGAAGCCCAAAUAUUGGUAAAAGAGAAGAAAGAAAUGGAAUAUAACCUGUUAGUUUUAACUUUUAAAGAAUCCUAAAAUGCUCAACUCGCAGCCAUGACCAGUCUACUUGACCUUCAAAUCCUCUCCUGUUGAAGUCUCUCCUCUAUCUCGCAAAAAUGGAAACAAAAAGCAGAUAUGUUAAGGAUACUCAAAGCGAAAUCCAGUGUCAUGCAUACUGUAAAGAAUUUAAAGAGCACCAAACCCCUGAUAGGGUUAAACUCAUGAUCUAAGAAGCUAGGCUUUUGGUUGAAAUGACAAAGUAAUAUAAUGAGAGAUACAAAUUGUCUAGUAAUGCAUCGUCCUAUAAAUGAUUUAAAUUAUAAAAUUAGAUAUCUCUAAUACAGUGCCCAAAAUCAGAGUUUAACAUUUACACAAAGCACAUGUGACAUAAUCACUUUGCCUUGCGCUAAAAAUUAAAUAGAGAUAGAAGUAAUAAACUAUUGGUUACUUAAAAAAUGAUGAAGAAGAAAAUUUGUAGAGAUUUUUUCCUUGUUUGCGUGAUCCUACCUCUCUGUCUAAUUCCAACUUUUUGUCGUUCUAUCCGGCUACUAAUCAUCCAUGUAAUAGGAAUUCGGAAUCAUUAUUCAACGUACAUUGGACUUCUCUCAUAAAAAAAUGAUUCCAACUUAGUUUAAUGUUCUUCCUCUCAAUCUAUUUAUCAAUGUUCCUAACACUCCACCUGAUGACAUGUCGAUAAGCUGUUUUCAACUUAUUUUCAUAAGCUCUCCAUGAUAUAUAGCUUAUGAAAACAGCUUAUAACUUGUACAAAUAUAGUUUCACUUGAUUUUAUCUUUUGUUAUAGAAAUAGCUUACACAUAAGCUGUUUGAAGAAAGUCGAAUGCAAUUGCACAUAUAAUAUUUCAAAGAAAAUGAAAGAGUCACUUAACAAAUUAUUGAUCUACUGUUCAAACAAGUAAUAUAAUAGACAAAGAAAAGGUGAAAAGUUUAUGAAUGUACCAAGCUGCGUGCGAAUUGAUGACACCGAUAGAACAAUUUGCGAACUUCUGAGAAAGAACCCUAAACCCCAGACCAAAGUGGUUCUGAAUUUGAAAUUCUAAGCCACGUUGCGUUUUGU
rnacentral:lncRNA from 1 species